rnacentral:rRNA from 1 species
AGUGAAGCGGCAACAGCUCACAUUUGAAAUCUGAGCCCUAGGGUCUGAGUUGUAUUUUGUAGAGGAUGCUUUUGGUGAGGUGCCGCCCGAGUUCCCUGUAACGGGACGCCGCAAAUGGUGACAGCCCCGUCUGGCUGGCCACCGAGCCUCUGUAAAGCUCCUUCGACGAGUCGAGUAGUUUGCGAAUGCUGCUCCAAAUGCGAGGUAUAUGUCUUCUAACGCUAAGUAUUGUCCAGAGACCGAUAGCGUACAAGUAGAGUGAUCGUAAGAUGAAAAGCACCUUGAAAAGAGGGUUAAACAUUACGUGUUAUUGUUGACAGGUACUCGCUUGUGACCAGACUUGUACGCGGCGAAUCUUCCGGGGUUCUCUCCGGUGCACUUCUCCGUGUUCAGGCCAGCAUCAGUUCUGCGCGUGGGACAAAGGCUUCGGGAACGUGGCUGCCCCGGCAGUGUUAUAGCCCGUUGCAUAAUACCCUGCGCUGGACUGACGACCGCGCAUCUGCAAGGAUGCUGGCGUAAUGGUCACCAGCGACGCGUCUUGACUCACGGACCAAGGAGUCGUCUUCGUAUGCGAGUGUUCGGGUGUCAGACCCCUACGCGUAAUGACAGUGAUCGCACGUGAGAGCUUCGGCGCAUCAUCGACCGAUCCUGAUGUUCUCGGAUGGAUUUGAGUAAGAGCAUAUUGAGCCGGACCCGAAAGAAGGUGAACUAUGCCUGUAUAGG